rnacentral:tRNA from 1 species
UCAACGGUGGCUGAGUGGUAAAGCGCUUGGCUUCCGAACCGAGGGUUCCGGGUUCGAAACCUGGUGAA